GACGAACGCUGGCGGCGUGCUUAACACAUGCAAGUCGAGCGGUAAGGCCCCUUCGGGGGUACACGAGCGGCGAACGGGUGAGUAACACGUGAGCAAUCUGCCCAUCACAUCGGGAUAACUCCGGGAAACCGAAGCUAAUACCGAAUACGACCACCUCCGGCAUCGGAUGUUGGUGGAAAGUUCCGGCGGUGAUGGAUGAGCUCGCGGCCUAUCAGCUUGUUGGUGGGGUAACGGCCCACCAAGGCUUCGACGGGUAGCCGGCCUGAGAGGGUGACCGGCCACACUGGGACUGAGACACGGCCCAGACUCCUACGGGAGGCAGCAGUGGGGAAUAUUGGACAAUGGGCGAAAGCCUGAUCCAGCAACGCCGCGUGAGGGAUGACGGCCUUCGGGUUGUAAACCUCUUUCAGCAGGGACGAAGCGCAAGUGACGGUACCUGCAGAAGAAGCACCGGCCAACUACGUG
rnacentral:rRNA from 1 species